CUCCUACGGGAGGCAGCAGUAGGGAAUCUUAGACAAUGGGGGCAACCCUGAUCUAGCCAUGCCGCGUGUGUGAUGAAGGCCCUAGGGUCGUAAAGCACUUUCGCCAGAGAUGAUAAUGACAGUAUCUGGUAAAGAAACCCCGGCUAACUCCGUGCCAGCAGCCGCGGUAAUACGGAGGGGGUUAGCGUUGUUCGGAAUUACUGGGCGUAAAGCGCACGUAGGCGGAUUAGUAAGUUAGAGGUGAAAUCCCAGGGCUCAACCCUGGAACUGCCUUUAAUACUGCUAGUCUUGAGUUCGAGAGAGGUAAGUGGAAUUCCGAGUGUAGAGGUGAAAUUCGUAGAUAUUCGGAGGAACACCAGUGGCGAAGGCGGCUUACUGGCUCGAUACUGACGCUGAGGUGCGAAAGUGUGGGGAGCAAACAGGAUUAGAUACCCUGGUAGUCCACACCGUAAACGGCGAAUGCCAGACGUCAGCAAGUAUACUUGUUGGUGUCACACCUAACGGAUUAAGCAUUCCGCCUGGGGAGUACGGUCGCAAGAUUAAAACUCAAAGGAAUUGACGG
rnacentral:rRNA from 1 species